rnacentral:rRNA from 2 species
GCGGCGGACGGGUGAUUAACACGUGGGCAACCUGCCUAUAAGACUGGGAUAACUUUGGGAAACCGGAGCUAAUACCGGAUACGUUCUUUUCUCGCAUGAGAGAAGAUGGAAAGACGGUUUACGCUGUCACUUAUAGAUGGGCCCGCGGCGCAUUAGCUAGUUGGUGAGGUAAUGGCUCACCAAGGCGACGAUGCGUAGCCGACCUGAGAGGGUGAUCGGCCACACUGGGACUGAGACACGGCCCAGACUCCUACGGGAGGCAGCAGUAGGGAAUCUUCCGCAAUGGACGAAAGUCUGACGGAGCAACGCCGCGUGAACGAAGAAGGCCUUCGGGUCGUAAAGUUCUGUUGUUAGGGAAGAACAAGUACCAGAGUAACUGCUGGUACCUUGACGGUACCUAACCAGAAAGCCACGGCUAACUACGUGCCAGCAGCCCGCGGUAAUACGUAGGUGGCAAGCGUUGUCCGGAAUUAUUGGGCGUAAAGCGCGCGCAGGUGGUUCCUUAAGUCUGAUGUGAAAGCCCCACGGCUCACCCGUGGAGGGUCAUUGGAACUGGGGAACUUGAGUGCAGAAGAGGAAAGUGG